AAUCAACGCUGGCGGCGUGCUUCAGACAUGCAAGUCGAACGAGAAAGUUCCCUUCGGGGAACGAGUAAAGUGGCGCACGGGUGAGUAACACGUAAGUAAUCUACCCUUGGGUGGGGGAUAACAUCGGGAAACCGAUGCUAAUACCGCAUAACGCAGCGGCUCUUAAUUGAGACAGUUGUUAAAGGAUUUAUCCGCCUAAGGAGGAGCUUGCGGCAGAUUAGCUAGUUGGUAAGGUAACGGCUUACCAAGGCAACGAUCUGUAGCCGACCUGAGAGGGUGGUCGGUCACACUGACACUGAAUAACGGGUCAGACUCCUACGGGAGGCAGCAGUCGGGAAUCUUGUGCAAUGGGGGAAACCCUGACACAGCAACGCCGCGUGAAGGAUGAAGUCUCUAGGGAUGUAAACUUCGCAAAUAUAGGAAGAAUCAAUGACGGUACUAUAUGUAAGCUCCGGCUAACUACGUG
rnacentral:rRNA from 1 species